GGCAUGUGGCCUGGUGGUGAAGGCGCUGGGUUGGCAGCCCACCGGUCAGGGGUUCGAUCCCUGAUCCCG